AGUGAGAUACAGGAGGUUUUAAGAGGACAAAGGAGAGGUAAUAUAUGCACCCGGUACAACAUUCGAAAGGUACAAAAGGCAUACAGUGAAAAAUAUUUUCUAGCACCUAGUGUGUGCCAGGUGGUGUGCUAGGUAUUGGGGGUGCAGUGAUGCAAAAGGUACAGGAAAAUUCCAGGCAGAGGGUAAGGAGAUAUUCCAGCCUGGCAUCCAUCAAGGCCCCCUUCCAACCUUGUGGAGCUUUGCUAGAAGUCAGCAAACAAACAAACAGACAAAACAAAACAAAACAAAAGUCAGCAAACAAGCCUUGGCUGGCUUUUUCCGUGGCAUGGAACUCAGUGGGAUGUCAAAGCCUGGAAUUCUUGUCCCAGGUCAAGGCUAAUGGUAUGUCUCGGUCAGAACAACCACAUAAGUGAACAGUGGCCUCUAGUUUAUUGGGCCAGCAUAAGACCGUUUGUCCAGAAGAUGAGAGAAGCCUAAUCAGGAGCCCCCCUCCCCUGAACUGCUAGGAUCGAGGGCCCAGAGAGCUGCAAAUGCCACAGAAGAGGAGCCGGAAUUAAUGGGCCCAUCCUCACUGGAGAUGCUGCAGGGCCAGAGUGGUGUCCUCCCAAGUAGAGAAGUGUUAGGGAUUUUAUCCAGAAGAGUAGCUCGGGGAGAUGUGGCGGUUCUCCUCCAGUGGCAGAGGAAACCCAGACUGAGGCAAAAGGAGCAGAUGUAUCUGUGGGCCCCUGAGGCAGAGCGGUGGUCGGGGGACAGAAGAUAGGCUUUGGCUUUGUACAGGUCAGAGCUGCCCCCAGCUGGGUUGAUUCACUUAUUCAUUCAUUUAUUCAGCAAACAUUCAUCUGUGAGGGGUGCACUUUACUUUAGGCUCUGUGUCUGGGGGAACAAAAUAAGACCAGGUUCCUUUUCUCAAGUUACCUGUAGUCUGGAGGUCCCUUGGGAGGCAGAGUGGCUCUUCCCUGGGGGUAUUAAAGCAGAGGCUGGACAAGCACUUGGGAGGGGCAGGUGGAGAAU